ACCAUAGAUUUAAAUAUCGAUAUUAUCGGCGAAAUAUCGCCGAUAAUAUCGAUUUUUCGGGGAAUGGAUAUUUAAAUAGGUAUCCGUGUGAUUUUCGUCAAAAUAUCGCGAUAUUAUCGAUAAUAUCGCGAUAUUUUGGAAAUAUCGCGACAUUUUUUGGAACUGUGCAAUCGGACUCCGAGAAGAACGCCGGAGAUGGUGUGCCUAUUCCCGAGCCGAUUUCGUCCCAAAAACCUUGCAAAAACACGAUUUUUAACAUCAAUUUCACAUAUAAACUUCAAAUUUCACGCAUGCAAGAGGUAAUCAACAUAGGGUUUAGUCGGAUCUCACCUGAAAACUUGGGUGUGCCUGGGUGUGGGUGCGAUCGGGGAAGCCGAGCUUCCUCUGCGCGUCGCCAUGCUUCCCAGAGACGGAGGAGAGGGAGGGAGAAUGAGGGAGGGUGGUGGAGAUGCUGCGCUGGCAUCGGGGUGGACGGAUUUGGGUGUGCUUGGGUGUGGGUGCGAUCGGGGAAGCCGAGCUUCCUCUGCGCGUCGCCAUGCUUCCCAGAGACGGAGGAGAGGGAGGGAGAGUUCAGGAGGGUGAGAGUUCAGGAGGAGAGGGAGGGAGAGUUCGAGAGAGAGAUAGAGUUGAGAACUCUGAGAGAGUGAGGG
rnacentral:lncRNA from 1 species